rnacentral:rRNA from 1 species
GACGAACGCUGGCGGCGUGCCUAAUACAUGCAAGUAGGACGCAGUUGCGAACGGGUGAGUAACGCGUAGGUAACUGCCUAUUAGAGGGGGAUAACUAUUGGAAAAGAUAGCUAAUACCGCAUACUAGUAGAUGGACCUGCGUUGUAUUAGCUAGUAGGUAGGGUAAUGGCCUACCUAGGCAACGAGACAUAGCCGACCUGAGAGGGUGAGCCACCCCCCGGUGAAUGAGACACGGCCCAGACGCCGACUAAGUACAACAAUAAUUAAAUUUUGGCAAGACGGGGAACCCUGACCCAGCAACGCCGCGUGAGUGAAGAAGUUUUUCGGAUCUUCAAUCUCUAUUGUUAAGGAAGCGGUACUUAACCAGAAAGGGACGGCUAACUACGUGCCAGCAGCCGCGGUAAUUC